rnacentral:ncRNA from 2 species
GUACGUCUUCAGGGCGGGGUGCAAUUCCCCACCGGCGGUAUGCGAGCGGCGAAAGCCUCCCGUGAGCCCGCGAGCGCCCUUGAACGCAGCUCGCUUUGCAAGUGCGAGCCACGCAACGGGGUCAGCAGAUCUGGUGAAAUGCCAGAGCCGACGGUCAUAGUCCGGAUGGAAGAAGAUGUGC